UGUUAGCAUGUCACUUGUGUUUACCUCUUCGUGGGGUUGUUCUCUCGAUAUUUUGUACUCUCUUUUUAUAUAGUGGAUUGCUCAUCUCCUUUGUGGACGUAGGUCAGUUAACCGAACCACGUUAAAUAUUUGUGUCUCUUUUGGUAGAUUUCUCUUUUGUAGUAUGAUUUAUCGUCGUUCAAGGUUUGCUUUGCUAGCUCCCGCAUGACACCUGAUUUUUUCGAUCCUAACAAGUGGUAUCAGAGCGAGGUUCAAGACCGGUUCAUCUUGGAAUGUUCAUUUCUAGCCACAAAAUAUUUGACGAUAAUCGUGAUUUUUAUAUGAAAAAUUUGACUGAUGUGCUACGCACGUUGAGACAAGCUUCGUGGUGGAGAUUUGGAGAUGCAACUUGUUUAAGGCUAUGUGAAGAAAGUGAAUCAAGUUUAUUCUGUCAGAAAAUUCAGGUCACGGGGGAGAAUUGUUAGGUGUUUGCCAUAAUUUUCUUACCGUAUUUGGUUUUUCUAUUUGUUGAAGAAAAGGGCAAUAUAAUUACCUUAACUGGGUUUUUCUUUUUGUAGAAGGGAAUUAUAAUUCUCUUAUAUUUGGCUAGUCCUUUUUACUGUAGGAAAAGGUUUGGAGUUCUAUAAAUUGAAGAUCCGUC
rnacentral:lncRNA from 1 species